rnacentral:rRNA from 1 species
GGUAACAUCAAAUCGUACCCCAAACCGACACAGGUGGUCAGGUAGAGAAUACCAAGGCGCUUGAGAGAACUCGGGUGAAGGAACUAGGCAAAAUGGUGCCGUAACUUCGGGAGAAGGCACGCUGAUAUGUAGGUGAAGCGACUUGCUCGUGGAGCUGAAAUCAGUCGAAGAUACCAGCUGGCUGCAACUGUUUAUUAAAAACACAGCACUGUGCAAACACGAAAGUGGACGUAUACGGUGUGACGCCUGCCCGGUGCCGGAAGGUUAAUUGAUGGGGUUAGCGGUAACGCGAAGCUCUUGAUCGAAGCCCCGGUAAACGGCGGCCGUAACUAUAACGGUCCUAAGGUAGCGAAAUUCCUUGUCGGGUAAGUUCCGACCUGCACGAAUGGCGUAAUGAUGGCCAGGCUGUCUCCACCCGAGACUCAGUGAAAUUGAACUCGCUGUGAAGAUGCAGUGUACCCGCGGCAAGACGGAAAGACCCCGUGAACCUUUACUAUAGCUUGACACUGAACAUUGAGCCUUGAUGUGUAGGAUAGGUGGGAGGCUUUGAAGUGUGGACGCCAGUCUGCAUGGAGCCGACCUUGAAAUACCACCCUUUAAUGUUUGAUGUUCUAACGUUGGCCCGUAAUCCGGGUUGCGGACAGUGUCUGGUGGGUAGUUUGACUGGGGCGGUCUCCUCCUAAAGAGUAACGGAGGAGCACGAAGGUUGGCUAAUCCUGGUCGGACAUCAGGAGGUUAGUGCAAUGGCAUAAGCCAGCUUGACUGCGAGCGUGACGGCGCGAGCAGGUGCGAAAGCAGGUCAUAGUGAUCCGGUGGUUCUGAAUGGAAGGGCCAUCGCUCAACGGAUAAAAGGUACUCCGGGGAUAACAGGCUGAUACCGCCCAAGAGUUCAUAUCGACGGCGGUGUUUGGCACCUCGAUGUCGGCUCAUCACAUCCUGGGGCUGAAGUAGGUCCCAAGGGUAUGGCUGUUCGCCAUUUAAAGUGGUACGCGAGCUGGGUUUAGAACGUCGUGAGACAGUUCGGUCCCUAUCUGCCGUGGGCGCUGGAGAACUGAGGGGGGCUGCUCCUAGUACGAGAGGACCGGAGUGGACGCAUCACUGGUGUUCGGGUUGUCAUGCCAAUGGCACUGCCCGGUAGCUAAAUGCGGAAGAGAUAAGUGCUGAAAGCAUCUAAGCACGAAACUUGCCCCGAGAUGAGUUCUCCCUGAGACUUAGAGUCUCCUGAAGGAACGUUGAAGACGACGACGUUGAUAGGCCGGGUGUGUAAGCGCAGCGAUGCGUUGAGCUAACCGGUACUAAUGAACCGUGAGGCUUAACCUUACAACGCCGAAG